rnacentral:tRNA from 1 species
GCGGGAGUGGCGAAAUUGGUAGACGCACCAGAUUUAGGUUCUGGCGCCGCAAGGUGUGCGAGUUCAAGUCCCGCCUCCCGCACCA